AACCCAGUGUGACUCGUCACACUAUCAUUAACUGAAUCCAUAGGUUAAUGAGGCGAACCGGGGGAACUGAAACAUCUAAGUACCCCGAGGAAAAGAAAUCAACCGAGAUUCCCCCAGUAGCGGCGAGCGAACGGGGAGGAGCCCAGAGCCUGAAUCAGCAUGUGUGUUAGUGGAAGCGUCUGGAAAGGCGCGCGAUACAGGGUGACAGCCCCGUACACAAAAGCGCAUGUGCUGUGAGCUCGAUGAGUAGGGCGGGACACGUGGUAUCCUGUCUGAAUAUGGGGGGACCAUCCUCCAAGGCUAAAUACUCCUGACUGACCGAUAGUGAACCAGUACCGUGAGGGAAAGGCGAAAAGAACCCCGGCGAGGGGAGUGAAAAAGAACCUGAAACCGUGUACGUACAAGCAGUGGGAGCACCCUUUGGGUGUGACUGCGUACCUUUUGUAUAAUGGGUCAGCGACUUAUAUUCUGUAGCAAGGUUAACCGAAUAGGGGAGCCGGAGGGAAACCGAGUCUUAACCGGGCGUUAAGUUGCAGGGUAUAGACCCGAAACCCGGUGAUCUAGCCAUGGGCAGGUUGAAGGUUGGGUAACACUAACUGGAGGACCGAACCGACUAAUGUUGAAAAAUUAGCGGAUGACCUGUGGCUGGGGGUGAAAGGCCAAUCAAACCGGGAGAUAGCUGGUUCUCCCCGAAAGCUAUUUAGGUAGCGCCUCGUGAAUUCAUCUCCGGGGGUAGAGCACUGUUUCGGCUAGGGGGCCAUCCCGGCUUACCAACCCGAUGCAAACUGCGAAUACCGGAGAAUGUUAUCACGGGAGACACACGGCGGGUGCUAACGUCCGUCGUGAAGAGGGAAACAACCCAGACCGCCAGCUAAGGUCCCAAAGUCAUGGUUAAGUGGGAAACGAUGUGGGAAGGCCCAGACAGCCAGGAUGUUGGCUUAGAAGCAGCCAUCAUUUAAAGAAAGCGUAAUAGCUCACUGGUCGAGUCGGCCUGCGCGGAAGAUGUAACGGGGCUAAACCAUGCACCGAAGCUGCGGCAGCGACACUGUGUGUUGUUGGGUAGGGGAGCGUUCUGUAAGCCUGUGAAGGUGUGUCGUGAGGCAUGCUGGAGGUAUCAGAAGUGCGAAUGCUGACAUAAGUAACGAUAAAGCGGGUGAAAAGCCCGCUCGCCGGAAGACCAAGGGUUCCUGUCCAACGUUAAUCGGGGCAGGGUGAGUCGACCCCUAAGGCGAGGCCGAAAGGCGUAGUCGAUGGGAAACGGGUUAAUAUUCCCGUACUUGGUGUUACUGCGAAGGGGGGACGGAGAAGGCUAUGUUGGCCGGG
rnacentral:rRNA from 1 species